GCCUCUGCGGCUGCACUGAAGAUGUUGGCAACUGUUGCAUGACUUGCUGGUGUCCAUGUAUCACAUUUGGCCAGAUUGCAGAGAUCGUAGACAGAGGCUCUUCUUCAUGUGGAGCUAGCGGAGCCCUGUACACUUUGAUUGCCCUGUUUACGGGCUGCCAGUGGAUAUAUUCAUGCACGUACAGGUCGAAGAUGAGGGCCCUUUACUCCCUCCCGGAGGAGCCAUGCAAUGACUGUCUCAUCCACUGUUGUUGUUUUGAGCAGUGCUCUCUGUGUCAAAUUUACAGAGAGCUCAAGCACCGCGGCUUCGACAUGACCAUAGGAUGGCAUGCAAAUGCGGAGAGGCAGUCUCUUGCGGCAACCCAACCACCAGCUGUACCGGGGGGCAUGAUGCGUUGAGGAGGUGAUGCAAGUGAAUGGCUUGCUCAAUUU
rnacentral:misc_RNA from 1 species